rnacentral:rRNA from 1 species
AUGGCUCAGAUUGAACGCUGGCGGCAGGCCUAACACAUGCAAGUCGAGCGGAUGACGGGAGCUUGCUCCUUGAUUCAGCGGCGGACGGGUGAGUAAUGCCUAGGAAUCUGCCUGGUAGUGGGGGACAACGUUUCGAAAGGAACGCUAAUACCGCAUACGUCCUACGGGAGAAAGCAGGGGACCUUCGGGCCUUGCGCUAUCAGAUGAGCCUAGGUCGGAUUAGCUAGUUGGUGGGGUAAUGGCUCACCAAGGCGACGAUCCGUAACUGGUCUGAGAGGAUGAUCAGUCACACUGGAACUGAGACACGGUCCAGACUCCUACGGGAGGCAGCAGUGGGGAAUAUUGGACAAUGGGCGAAAGCCUGAUCCAGCCAUGCCGCGUGUGUGAAGAAGGUCUUAGGAUUGUAAAGCACUUUAAGUUGGGAGGAAGGGCAGUAAGCUAAUACCUUGCUGUUUUGACGUUACCGACAGAAUAAGCACCGGCUAACUCUGUGCCAGCAGCCGCGGUAAUACAGAGGGUGCAAGCGUUAAUCGGAAUUACUGGGCGUAAAGCGCGCGUAGGUGGUUUGUUAAGUUGGAUGUGAAAGCCCCGGGCUCAACCUGGGAACUGCAUCCAAAACUGGCAAGCUAGAGUACGGUAGAGGGUGGUGGAAUUUCCUGUGUAGCGGUGAAAUGCGUAGAUAUAGGAAGGAACACCAGUGGCGAAGGCGACCACCUGGACUGAUACUGACACUGAG